UNUGACUUGAGUGCAGAAGGGGAGAGUGGAAUUCCAUGUGUAGCGGUGAAAUGCGUAGAUAUAUGGAGGANCACCAGUGGCGAAAGCGGCUCUCUGGUCUGUCACUGACGCUGAGGCUCGAAAGCGUGGGUAGCGAACAGGAUUAGAUACCCUGGUAGUNCACGCCGUAAACGAUGAGUGCUAGGUGUUAGGCCCUUUCCGGGGCUUAGUGCCGGAGCUAACGCAAUAAGCACUCCGCCUGGGGAGUACGACCGCAAGGUUGAAACUCAAAGGAAUUGACGGGGGCCCGCACAAGCGGUGGAGCAUGUGGUUUAAUUCGAAGCAACGCGAAGAACCUUACCAGGUCUUGACAUCCCGAUGCUAUUCUUAGAGAUAGGAAGUUACUUCGGUACAUCGGAGACAGGUGGUGCAUGGUUGUCGUCAGCUCGUGUCGUGAGAUGUUGGGUUAAGUCCCGCAACGAGCGCAACCCUUAUUGUUAGUUGCCAUCAUUAAGUUGGGCACUCUAGCGAGACUGCCGGUAAUAAACCGGAGGAAGGUGGGGAUGACGUCAAAUCAUCAUGCCCCUUAUGACCUGGGCUACACACGUGCUACAAUGGUCGGUACAACGAGUUGCGAGCCGGUGACGGCAAGCUAAUCUCUGAAAGCCGAUCUCAGUUCGGAUUGGAGGCUGCAACUCGCCUCCAUGAAGUCGGAAUCGCUAGUAAUCGCGGAUCAGCACGCCGCGGUGAAUACGUUCCCGGGCCUUGUACACACCGCCCGUCACACCACGAGAGUUUGUAACACCCGAAGUCGGUGAGGUAACCUUUUAGGGGCC
rnacentral:rRNA from 1 species